AACAAAAGCAGAAGAAGCAGGAUCAUUUUGGGCGCUGGAGGACCCCAGAUCUGCGCCCCGGGUGACUGCGCCCUUGCCAACCUCCCAGGGAGCCUCUUUCACCCACUCCCUCCCCCGCUCCCCUUUCCUGGACCUGUUUCUCACUAGGUAGCAAACCCCCAGAUCUUUGUCUCGUUCCAGAAACCAGGUCCAAGAGUGUGGGCCUUUCCUUUCCCAGUCUGGUUUCCCUAGUCCGGUGCCAAGAGGGGACCUGACAGCCAGGAGCCGGGUCGCACCCGCUGCGUGGCGCUGGCACUACGGCCUGUGCAGAUUGCUCACCCUCCUCCGGGAAAGCUAAGAAAACAGCACUAAGCCUUGCAAGCUGCGGCCCAUUAAUGCCUCUUAGCUCGCAAGAUGGGUGACUUGCGCUGAGCCAGGCCCUUCCCUCCAGGCUCCUCACACUCUCCUCCCUCCUCGCCCCUUCUGUUUCCACCUCUCCUAGCCAUCGUCCCCUCGCCUUCUCUCUCCUUCUCUCGCUUCACCCAGCCCCCACACCUUCCUUUUGUUUCCAGUUUCUCCUCAUUUCCCCUUUCUUUCUUUUUUCCUUCCCUCUGUUUUCCCCCUCUUCUUUUCUGCUCUCCCCGCUCGCUUCGGUCCCCCCGAGGUCAUCCCGCCUUUGGACAGUCCCGGAGCUCCAGAGGCGUCUGGGGAACCCAGCAGCUCUCUUCUCCAUUCCCGGUCGGCCCUGCGGGUAGUUGGCCAUGCUGUCGCCCAGUUUGAGCAAACAGUCUGAAAAGCCCUUAAAGACCGCAUCGCACUUGCCCGCUGCUCUCACGGCCUGCACCAGAGGGGCUCUGAGAAGCAGAGUGCUGGGGGGCCAAAAAAAAAAAAAACUGUCAGAGAGAUGUGGAGUCCGGGGUUGCACUGCUAAACCAAGAGCCACAUCCCCAGGGUAACCAUCAGGUGCCUGGGUCUUUGUCAGGUACGCAGCAAAUAUUGCUUAAUGAAUGAAUGAAUAAAGUCUUUGGAAGAUCGCAGCAGCCACGGGGACGGGAUGUUUUUAUUUCAAAACCGAUUGCCCAACAUGAAGUCUGUUGUUUGUGAGACCCUUAGGUGUACAGUUUUCUGCCACUCUAAAGCAGGGCAGUUUAAAUGUCCAGGGCCCUAAAGGGAUAAGUAUUGGUCUCAGUAGCUGGUUUGUGUGUGUGUGUGCAACAGAUAUAUCUGUACCAGUGACCACAGUCAAUGCCAGGAGCCUGGUGUGUGCGUGCGUGCGCGCUCCUGUGUGGCAUCUUUCCCUUUCCUUCUCUGCAUGUCUCACCUCUACACUCCCCUUUAAUGUCCCUGGAAACACUCAAGAGAGCAGAUCUUUCCUCUCAAGGUUGCAGCCAGCUUGCUAGGCGCCGGGUAGGCUGCCGCCUAGCACUCUGGCUUCUAGUGGGGGCGGGGGAGUUGAAGUAGGUAGAAGCUGGGCAAGAGGCAGAAGGAGA